GGCUGGUCCGCUACCUCCUUGCUCCCUUCGUCCGGCCCAGGGAAGGGCUCCUCGGGCCACCGCGCGGGGUUGGGGGCAGGACCCUGGCACCCGCACAGCCGCAACCAGGCCGGCAGCUGGUCCUGUGGCCCCUGCUCCGCAUGAAGGAGAGGAGGUGUGAAGAAGCCCCGCGAGCGCCGUCCUCUCCUCUCCCGGCACAGCCCCGCCCCUGGGCUGGCGGGCGGGCGCGGGCUGUGCUUCUUCCUCGGUCACAUCGCAGGAGUCCCGGGGCUGGGCGUGAAAAGAAACACUAGACGCCAGUGAGGUUCAUGGUAAAAUCCUGGGAGCUGUCAGUCUUGCAGCUGGAGUCCCUUGCCGGCAUCCAUAGAGAUGAUGAGUAACUUGGGGUUUUGUUUUGUUGUUUUUUAGACUACCCCAAAGGCUACAGGCCAGUGGACCAUCGCCAGGAAAUCUGAGGUUAAGGUCAAUGUCAGUGAAGCGACUGUCGAUGUUACUUACUGGAGUGGCAACUGGAAUGUCACAAAUGGCAGAAUCCAGGUUGAAUGUGAUGGCUUGUAUCUGGUGUUCCUGCAAGGAGGGCUCAGUUUGGAUAAUAAUGCCUUGCUGACCCUCACAGUUCAUGAUAAAGAGAACAAUACCAUCUUGAAGCUGGAAGAGAAGGAAGAAAGGAAGAUAUAUUUGGUCACAGCAUUACGUCUGCUUAGUCCUAAUAAUAUUUAUCUGAAUGCCAGUGGCCCGGCCAUUCUUCAUCAUUUGUCACUGGGCCUUGUCUUGCUGUCUCCACCCAAUUACUGCACUGACAGAAAAAGGAUUAAAUAUUAACAUGCAAAGAAAGACCCCUUUCUGACAAACUACAAAUCUGAACCCACCACUAGCACAUACACAAGAUUGUAUUCAUUAGGCUAUACAUGUACAAGAAGCCUGAAACUGGGGUCUCAGGCCUGUGCUAUGUCUGAGUGAGAGGGUUCUCCUGGCUAGUGCAAACAAGUCAAUAUGCAAAUAGUCUUUAUUCAAUAUCUGCCAUGUUCAUCUCUUUGGGGCCCACUCCCUGGGAUGGAUCUAUCGGACUUGGGAGAGGGUCCGUGAUACUGUCGAGAAGAAUGAAGGUGAGAGCAUAGAAAGUUAUUGAUGCUUGGUUCAUAGAGGAAUCCUGGCUUCCCUAUUUAUUUGAUGAAAUUUGUAUAUACUUGAAAGGCUUUGCACACUUGCUGGAAAAGGAAUCAGUUGAAUCACAAAUGGACCUGAUAUUUUUACAGUUACCUGAGCAAAGUGGAGAUGAUAGAGAUCCAUGAAACAACUUUUGCCUAGCUGCAAGGAAGAAAAAGAUCCCUUACAGUGAUCCUGAGAGAUGUUUCCUGGAAGCUCAGGAAAUGGAAGAAAAGAGGUGUUUGGAAGUUUAAAAUGGAGACUCGUGGUAAUGAGCACAGAGCUGUUUAAGAAUGGCUUUUCAGACAGAAAGAGACUAUGAGAAAUGCAGUUUCUAAUUAUUUGCAAAUUCUUUGGCAUAAGUGAUGUGGGAAUAUUUGAGACAAUACUAGGAGGGACUGAUGUCAGGAAUUCAAGAUAUCAACUGGAGAAGAAUCCCAGCUUCUCCCUUCUCCUCUUCCAUAUGCAUGCAUACGCAUGCACACAUACACACACAUACUAGGCUUGAACCAAGAUCCAGGUGCCUAAACUUUAGAAGAUGUUGGAAGAAGCUCCUAACCCCUUGCACAGGCUGUCUGGGUUCCAAGGAACAAAUAAAAUCUUUGGUUCUGAAAUCUUCAAAUUUGGGAGGGUUCAAAUUUGUGAAAGUCUAGUCCAGAGAGCCUAUUACAUACAUGCAUACACACACUCCGUUAUGCAGUUGUACACACGGAUCCUGAGCUGACUCCCACUGAAGUCCACAGACAGCCUCUUCCUGAUUUCAGUGGGCUUGUGAUUCCUAUUCUCAUUUGACUAUGAGUGUGGAAGAUAAGGACAGUCUUUCCAGUGUUAAAGUGCCAUAUUUGAUUUGGAUGCAUGUAGUAACCUAGCCUAUUGAAAUGUAAAAACAUUUAUUUUAAGGUGGGUUUGAAUGAGUGAUUUGUUUGCAUCAAUGAGCAGAGCUCUGAUGUAAAUGUGGGGCAGGGGAAAUAUAUAUUGCAGACUUGAGUCUCACCCAUGGGGAGGAGAGGGCUGCAAUGUACCCCUCCCCCCCGGAAUAAGUGAAGACUGAUGAGCUUGCAGGGGGGAGGGAGGGGAAGGGGACAAAACCUAAUUGAGGCUAGAUAUAUUCAGUUAAUAUAUUGUUAUUCUAGGCAUAGAGUGAAAUAGCUUUCAAAGGCAACAAUAAAAGUUAGGCACAUAAUUCCCUAGUGGAAUUAAGCAACUUACUGCUGUUUGUACUUGUGAGCAUCUAUGUUUAAAGUAUUUAUGUAUUUAUAUUACAGGUAUGAAACUGGAUAAUUUUGUAUUUAGUAAAAAAACACUGGGCAGAUUUUAGAUUGCAAGAGAUUUCCCCCUUCUAAACCCUUAUUUGUAGACACUUAAAACCUACAACUUUUCUUUUUCAAACAGAAAGUUUCCAGGCCUGGUCUUUCCCAAACAUGAUUAUAAAGCCUGAACAGAAAUGGUUCAGUUGCUUGUUUGUUUUUGGGUGCAGGGGGGCAUGACAGGGGAACAGGUUUAAAAAUAAACACCUUCAUUGUGAUCCAGCAAUGUAUUAGCAUGUGGGCUGCUUCUGACACGGUGGUCUAGCUGAGGUUGGUAGGAUGACUGCUGUUUAAGAUUAGCCAGGAGUUUCAAUGCUUUGUUGGGCUGGGGCUUAUACCAGUCUUUUCUCCAGUCACAGUGUAUGUAGGGUUUAGGGAAUGGGUGCUGCCUACCUGGUUAGGCAUAUGAGGAAACUCCUUUUUGAAACCCCAUGGAGAUAAUGCAGGACUUGCAGAAGCAUUUUUCCCAAGGCUUCACAAAUUGUCCCUCCAGCAAAUCUGAUGAAUUGUCAGGGCAUUCUGGUAGGAUCCAGUCAGAUAUUUUUCCAGGUACUGACUGAACUCAUGCUAUUGCCUUCUUUGUGAGCAAGGAUUACUUCAAAGCUCUGGCCAGUGAAACUCCUUUUUUCCAUCCUUCAACUGAAAAAAAAGAAAGAGGAAAAAGAAUGAAAUCCUAAGAAAUUUUAUUAACACCUCCCUCCCCACCAAAAAACAUAUUAGGAGAAUGUUAUGAUUACACAGUUGAGUGCUUUUCAGUCAGGGAAUACCACAAAUAAUGUGUAUUCACAACCUCAACUCUGCCCCCUUUGUGCGUUGACAUAAUGAUAAAGUCUUCAGAGUCUAGUCAUACACUGCUUCUCAAACAGUACAGUAAUUCCUACAAUUUCAGAUACUGGGGUGUAUGUUCCAGUGCUCUUUGUAUACCAGAGGAAAGAGUCCAUGAAUGACAUUUAUAUGAAAAGUUUUCAGUGUAGCAAAGCAUAGCAAUGUGAGACAAAAGUGAGAGUAAGCUGACGCUUAUUUGUGUCAAGUUUGCCAAAAAGUUACAUUCUUCCACCAAAAUUCAAUGGAGAAAGUAAGGAUUGCUAGUUGAUUAGAAAAUAUAUUAUUGUUGAGAAAAACUACAAAAAUACGUUCUGCAGAAAAAUGUAAAGGGAAUGGGGCAACCAAAUUGCUCUGUGACAUUAAAAACCUUGGCCACACUAUAGUAGACUAAUAUAACAAAAACUAGUACUGAAAAUACAAAAGAAUGGGGGAAGUAUUACAAGGGAUAGUGCAUCAGUUUGUAGGGAAAAAAACAUUUCUUGUAUUGCUUAAGAAGUGGUAUGUAAUCUUGAAAUUAAAGGUCAUGUCAUAAUGCGUGUAGCUAAGGACACAGAGGUAGGGUUGUGUGAAUAACUUCUGGGUGUGUGGCUAUGUCACCAUAACAUCCUCUUAAUAUCACUUAUUACUUAAAUAAUGCUUGAUGGAGAGAAAGGAGAUUCAGUGAGUCACAGAGUGCGUUGGGUACCUGAGUCAGGUGGAACUAAACCAUCUCCCCGCUGCCUGACCCACCUCCUGAUGCUGAUCUCUGUGAUGCUUUCUGUCCCCCUCCUGCACAGAAAAGGCAAUGCUCCACCUUGAGCUGUCCUAGCUCCCCCCAAAUCCAUUGGGUAGCUUUUUGCCUAUACAAGUUAGUUUUUCAUCCACUUUUUACAGUUCUUACUAGAGUCCCCAAAGUGGCAUUUAGAAUUAAGUUCUAUGCUAAUACAUCCAUGAACUGAGCUGGGUGAACACUUGACCUGUCUAGUGGGUUCAGAUCUGCUAUGCUCUGCUGUCAAAGUAUUGAAAAAGAUCACUGGGUGCAUCUACAUAUGUGCUUUACUGCGGAGUAGACUAUUUAGCUCUGCAGUGAAGUGUCAUCAGCU